AACUCCGGGAAAGAGAGGGAAAAAAAAAGGAAAAACAGAGAAAUGUGGAGUUGCCGCCGGGCUUGGGGCCAGCCUCUCAGAUGGGCCACAUGGAGGGGAGCCGGGGCCAGAGCUGGGGAGGAGGCCCAGGGCCGGGCGCUUAGACAGGGAACGGGAGCUGGAGCCACAGCUCUCCUGGGGCCAGGGCAGGCCUGCCCUGCGACAGAGGACCUGAGAGAGGAGCCCAGACGGGAGAGCAGUGAAGGGUGGACGAAGCUGCGGGGGUGAGAGCAUGUCACUGGCCAGCUGCCUCCUUUUAUAGAUGCGACAUUUGAGGCCCAGAGGGGGAAGGUAACUUGUCCAAGGUAACAGAGCAAGUCAAGAGCAGGGCUCAGAUGAGACUCUAAAUAGCACCUAGGUCAGGGGCUUGAGAGGGAAACGGAAGAGAGGAGCAAAGGCCCCCCGGGCCAGGGAGGAAAAGGAGAAAGACCACCGAGGCGGGCAGGACAGUCGGAGGAGUGAGAGGGAGAGGACAGGCUCAGGAAACCGGAGCAGCACUCUGCAUGGAGAGGACAUGGGUGGGAGGAGAAAGACCUCCUUUUCGAACGGCCGAGAGAAAUCGGGUCUCAAGCUCUUUGGGGUGAGGGUCAGCCACAUGUGGGGGAGGGGAGGGAGGGAGGGAGGUUGGUUGGGCCGUGUCUACACAGCCUGCAGGAAGCCACUCCCUCGCGUGGAGCCAAGCCUGAAAGCCUCUGAGGCAGGCAAGGAAGUCACCCCAACCGCCAGCCUGUCUGACUCCAUCAGCCGCCCCCUCCCCAUCUGGCUCCAGUGCUGGGCGGGGUGGGCUGCCUGGGGUAGCCAUGCAGAAGUGCUGGCCAGAACUGUCACGUGGAGGUGCCCAGGUAGCACAGGCUCCUCAAGGAGCGGCUGGUUCUGGUGGGUUACGGACACAAGCUCCCAACAGAGAACGCACGCAAGGUAGGACAGACAGAAGGCCAGGGGGCAGACAAAUGGAAGCUGUGCUCUGGGUCAGAGGAGAGCUCUUGGAAGAAAUCAAUGUUGGGGAAAAAAACCAAAGAACAGAGACGAGGAGAGGGGAGAGAUUUCAGGUUGGGGCAAGGGGUCUGUCUCAGUUUCCUCACCUGUAACAUGGGAAUAAUAAGGAAUUCCCAUCAUGGCUCAGUGGUUAACGAACCUGACUCGUAACCAAGACAGUUGUGGGUUCGAUCCCUGGCCUCACUCAGUGGGUUAAGGAUCCGGCGUUGCCGUGAGCUGUGGUGUAAGUCGCAGAUGUGGCUCGGAUCCCAUGUUGCUGUGACUGUGGUGUAGACCGGCGGCUAUAGCUCCAAUUAGACCCCUGGCCUGGGAACCUCCAUAUACCACAGGUGCAGCCCUAAAAAGACAAAAACAAACAAACAAAAAACCUAAAUAAAACAUGGGACUAAUGACACUACGCUCCUUCUUAGGUUUGUGAGGGUUAAUUCAUCCACAUGGAGCAUUCGGAAUAGUGCCCAGCGUAUGGUAAAUGUACCAUAAGUGUUAGUUCUUUUUCGUGUCAGGGAGGUCCCUGGUAGCCUAGCUUGGGUCACGGCUGUGGUGUGGGUUUGAUUCCUGGUCUAGGAACUUCUGCAUGUUGCAGGUUCAGCAAAAAAAAAAAAAAAGAAGAAGAAGAAGAAGAUGUAGAAGAAGAGGGCCAGAAAGCCAGAGAAGCUGAUUGUGGGAAAAUCAGGGAGAGGCUAAACGACUGGUUAAGGGCUUGGGUUACAAGCUGUUGAGUAGGGGGUCAAUACACACCCGGUAAGAAGGUAUUUUUGGCAAAAGCAGUGGGCGGGGGGUUAGGGCACAAGGAUGCUGGUUCCAGCUCCUCCUCUAAGGAGCUCUACCACUUUGAGCAAAUCCCCUGGCUCCUCUGUCUGUCUUCUAAAUGCUACAUUGCAAAGUGACACAGACUUGGAAGAGAAGGCUGGGACUGCCUGCGUGAUGAGGGACCCAGUGAAGGGAGACACCAGAGAAGAUUCCAGGCUUUGAGCCAGGAUGGGUAAGUCGAGAAGAGGCGUGGAUUUGAAGGAAAGAGAGAUGACCUUGGUUUGGACAUCCUGAGUUCAAGGACCGUAGUCUGAAGCCCUGAGAAGGGCGGAUGCCACUGAAUCGUCAACGUGCCUCUUCUGAAUGAUCUGCCUCUGAGGUCCUGGGGCCCAGACGAUGAGCCUGAAGAACGGGAGAAAGGCUGGCAACAAGACAGGAUGGUGAAAGUAAACACUGGGACCAACGGAACUGGCAGCGUGUGGCUGCUCCUCAGCGGUGAGGGGUACGAUACUUGAGGAGGCAACAUUCUUGGACUCAGGGCUCAGCCUUCAUUUUCCAGAUUUUGCUCUUCCACCCCUGAGCCUAAUCCUGACCAUGUCUUCUCCUUGAAAAAAAUGUCACACUAAUAAAAUUCACUGAAUUAUUAUUUAAAAAAA